UAUUGGGCAGUCGUGGCGCCGCUACGCAAUCGUCCCGACGCGGAUUUUCGUAACACACUCGUAUCACUAUCAUAUAGACCUCCACGUGUAGCAGUCGUAUCGAGACGCUUCGAGGAGAGUGAUCGGUCGCGUUUGCUAUCUGCUCUUAUACGAUUCCAAUUUCGACAAAUUUCUGACAAGUCGCGACAGAAGAAACUUCGUAUCGUGACGAUGUCAUCAUUCCAAGUGUGCACCUGAUCAUCGACAACUCUGCGUUUCGAGAAAUUCUGCCAUCGUUCAAAGUCAGAAUUUCGCGGGUUCAGUGUUUUCAUUCCGGCGUAGUUUUAUUUUGGUGUGAACAAUUGGUGACCGUAUAGGUAAAUCAUCCGGAAAUGAUUUAACGUCUGCGUUUCGCAUUACUUUUCGCGGAAUAAUUCGUAGACUAACAGUGUAUCAUUAAUGUUGAACAACAUAAUGAGUUCCUAUCAGUUCGUAAACUCAUUGGCCCAGUGCUACGGACAACAAGGACGAUCGACGGGCACCGACCAGGGACAUCAAAGCACAUCGGCCGGCGGUGAUUAUUACAAUCCAAAUGCGGCGGCAGCGGCGGCGGCGGCCAAUUACCCGCCAGCGUGUUACUCACCGCCGCAGGUGGCCCCGCAGUAUCCACAGCAUCCCUAUGCAACACCCGCCACUGGCCAUGGUCUUCAACCCACAAUGGGCGACUAUACGCAAUUGCAGCCGCAGCGAUUGGGCCAACAGCCACAUUUGCAUCACGCCAGCCCAGGCGCUCAAAGUCCCGGCAUGGGCUUGAAUCCUGCGGCCAGCUGCAAAUAUGCUGAUUCGACGUCGGCGGGUGCUGGUGGAGUGUCCUCCCCACAGGACUUGAGCACGUCCAGUGGUGGCCCACCCGGCAAUCGGGCCACGCCACCGCUGAGUAAUCAAGGCGGACAGAAUCCCAGCGUGACGAUAACGAAGAGCGUCGGGUUGACCUCGCCGCUCUCGGUGAGCACCUCACCGCAGGGCAAACAGGCCGCCUCGUCGACAGCCUCACAAAACCUAUCGUCGCCGGCGUCCAGCACCAGCUCAACAUCCAGCAACGAGAAAUCUGGCAACAACAACAAUUCCAAAGGUGGCAGCUCCUCAAACCCUCCACAGAUUUAUCCGUGGAUGAAACGCGUUCAUUUAGGACAAAGUACAGUGAAUGCGAAUGGUGAAACCAAAAGACAACGCACGUCCUACACCCGUUAUCAGACGCUGGAGCUGGAGAAGGAGUUCCAUUUCAAUCGGUACCUGACGCGGCGGCGACGCAUCGAAAUCGCCCACGCGCUCUGCCUCACCGAGCGCCAGAUCAAGAUCUGGUUCCAGAAUCGGCGGAUGAAGUGGAAGAAGGAGCACAAGAUGGCCAGUAUGAAUAUCGUUCCAUACCACAUGUCCCCGUACGGCCAUCCCUAUCAGUUCGAUUUGCAUCCCAGUCAGUUCGCGCAUUUGGCCACCUAAGCGCCGCUGGCCAACUCACCAAUUCCACGCCACCGCCGACCAACGCCGCCGAAAAAUCGAGAGACGCAUUUUGUACAGAAAGCAUGGGGUCGCUUUUUAAAACAAACUCCCCCCCGCACUAAGACUACAUUUCAUUAAGCGUUCGGAGCUAAGCAAAUUCUGUGCGAAUCUAGGAUAAUCGAUACAUAAAAAAUAAACGGAACGUUCACAUAUUAAAAUGCACGAUAUGCAAGAAAAUAUGAACGCCAUGCAAAUGGCAAACAGUUCGAUUGUGAUUACUAUUGUUUAUUAUAUUUUUGUUUGUUGCAAGAUAGCGAAUUUGUUAUGCGAAGCAAAUAGAUUUCCAUCUGGCAUCCCUCCAGGACGAAGGUUACGCAUUCCAUCAGGCGAUGGGGAUGGGAGGAAUGGGGCCCAUGCAGCGCGGCCUGUACGCAUGUGGCAGUCCGUACAGCUAGCCCUGGGCCACCUAUAACGGAGACUGCGGCCCUUCGUAGAUUCCCUACCCGCCGGUUCGCCACCUAGGACACUUCAAGGUUGCAGAGGCGAACGGCGACGGAAUCGCUGGGUCAGACGCUAUCGGAUUUGAGUCGAUCCCGCAUCGACGAUAGCAGUCUCCGGCUCGCGGUGACGCGGCGACACACACCUUACCAGCACCAACCCUUCGGAUACACCUGCUGAAGACACAGUGUGACGUCGCGAAGCACCGCGAGUUUCUUAUUUUUUAUGUACAAUACACGAACUCAUGAGAUAUUCACAAAACCUGAAAAACUUUGUUGUUGCACGUGCCAAUCGACUGUGCGUAAACUCGUAAAAUCCAAAAGUCAGUGCAAUAAUGACACAAUCGCGUGUCAAAGAUGGAAACUAUUUAUUUGUUACUCUAUUUUGUUUAUAAUUUUUUUUAUUAUUGCGAAUUUGUUCCUCUGAGGAUGUUAUAAGAAUCUAUAAGUACUGAGAAUGCGUUUUUGUCAUUUUGUGGUGGUGUCUCCAUGUAUAAACGAAGAUGAAGUCAAUUUGCAAAGAGCGAUAAAAAUUAAAAGACUAAUCUGCCAACUAGUAGCCAACUAGUAGCAUGAGCUGAUUAUGAAAUGCCAUUAAAUGUUCACAAUUGUAUUAAAAGACUAUGCGCACGCUCAACUAACACACAUCUUUAUGAAAUGACCUCAUCUUUGAUAGAAGUUUAAAUAGCGAAUUAAUUUAAUCAUCGAAUUGCAUCGAUUGAGAACAAACAAAUUGAGUAAAAAUGAUGAAUAAUGGCAACAAGUGUGAUUUUAAACUAUAAAUAAUGUAAUGAUAUUUAAAGAAACAAAUGUGUAUUAUUAUUAAUUAUUUAAGUCUAAUAUGAAGAUAUAAAUUAAUUUAAAAAUUGACGACGUCGCUGAGAAAUGGAAAAAUACACUACUAUUGUAAUAUUGUAAUAUUCUAUAUGAUAGUUUAUAGUCUAUUGUGAAUUGAAUGAGUAAUUGUGCAACAUGAAACACAACUUAAAUUAUAAUACAUUGUAAGAAUUGUAUGUAAGAAGAGGUGAGUUUGCAAAAACAAAAAAAUAAGCGGACGUGAAUGUGUUGCAAUUCGUGUGCAUGUCGCAAUUGUGGAAACAAAAAACAUGAAAAAAGUAUCAAUUUGUAGUGUUGUACAUAAAUAUACAUCAAGUGUAGUUUAUUAAUUAUUAAAUUAAAUUAUUAAUAAUAAGUAUCUAA